rnacentral:lncRNA from 1 species
AUAUCGUUGAUAUGUCAAAGUCAAUGCAUAUUAUUGUCUAUGUAUUACGAUGCUAAGUCAAAAGGUAAAUUUAUUUUAACUAUAGUAUUUUUUUUUAAAGUUCUAUCAUUUAUGAGGGUCGUAAUGGGGGUAAAAAUUCUUGCCAAAUGACGUUAACGGUAAAUUUUGGUGCAUGACGAUAAAAUGUACACUUUCUUUCAGACGAUAAAACAAUCUACUGAUUUUGACGAAUCACGUCAAUUUUUUUCCAAAAAUAACGGUAACGGUAAUUAUUUGAGACCUCUGACGAAUCACGUUAUCGAUAAUUUGACGAAUCACGGUAAAAUUUUAACCAAUUUGACGCUAACAGUAGCCAAAAAUGACCGUUUGACGCCUGACGGUAAAUUUAUAUUAUUUGUUUUGUCUGUACUGAUCAAUUAUGAGGUUAGACGUUUUUAAUUUUAAGUUGAACAAUUCUCAUGAUUAUUGUCUGUCAUAUAUAUAUAUGUAUUAAUUGAGUUAUCAUGAAUAUAUUGUUAUUAUUUGUUGUAUACAUAUGUUUCUUUUUGUUUUGUGUUUUUUGCUACACAUGUUACAUUUCUAUACAUUGUUUAGAUUGCAUUGCAUAUGUUAUUGUUUAUAAUGAUAUUGUUUAUAUCCUAUUCUGUUCUGUCUGAUCUGGUCUGGUCUGGUCUGGUCUGGUCUGGUCUGUAUUAAUACUCAUAAUUAUAUUGUAUUGUCUGUACCUGUAACUUCAUUAAUAUGCUUGUUAUGAGCCCUAUGAUUUAAUUUUAGGAAAAUAAAACAAUUAUAUUCUAUUCUAUUACAUGUUCAGGAGAAUCGGGGAUCCCCUUAAAAAGAAGACGCAAAUAGGAUACACUCAUUCUUUUGUAAAAUAUUUGGAAAUAUUUCCCUUUGAACCCCUCUUGAUGACAGAAUAAGCACAGAUACACAUGAAUGGCCGGCUCGAAAGGAAGUCUUGCCAAAUAUUUUAUAUAUCGCAUGCCUGGGUUUACCACUACUGGUCAAACAUUUUGUUUCGAUUUUAUUGUUGAAACUCAGUCAAUGUUGUAUUCUUUUCCCCCCUAAUUUUCAAUGAUAACAAAUUAUUCUUUUACUUCCCUUCUGAAGCAAAUAUAUAUAUAGAGAAUCCCCAACACAAUAUGAAUGAUCGAUGCCUAAUUGUAGCAAAAGUUUAAAAAUGAGCAGUACAAUUCAAUAAAUGGACACAUUUUAUUUCUUUUAAUAUGAAUAAAUGUAUACGAGAAAAAUAUAAUGAUUAUUUCACAUUAUUCUGCGCUCAUUGAUUAAAAUAUCUAUUAUUUUAUUAUCAUUAUUAUUAUUGAUAUUGUAGGAAACCUUAAUAUGACAGUAGAUAGAUCAAGGAGACCUAGUAAUCGCCCCAGCAGACGACCGGCCAAGGUCGACGUAAAGGUCAAGUUAGAACGCAGUAGGCAGAGUGCAAGGGAAUGUAGAGCGAGGAAGAAGUUACGAUACCAGUACCUGGAAGAUUUGGUUACUAGUAAGGAAAAUGCCAUCUUUAAGUUAAGGGACGAACUUGCAUUG